rnacentral:SRP_RNA from 1 species
GCUGGGUGUGGUGGUGCACGCCUGUAAUCCCAGCUACUCUGGAGGCUGAGGCAGGAGAAUUGCUUGAACCCAGGAGGCGGAGGCUGCAGGGAGCCGAGAUCGCACCACUGCACUCCAGCCUGGGUGACAGAGUGAGACUCUGUCUUUA